UACGUAGGAGACGAGCGUUGUCCGGAGUUACUGGGCGUAAAGGGUGCGCAGGUGGCGGCGCGCGUGGGGGGUGAAAUCGCCCGGCUUAACUGGGCGGGGGCCUUCCAGACGGCGUGGCUUGAGCAGCGGAGGGGGACGUGGAAUUCCUGGUGUAGCGGUGAAAUGCGUAGAUAUCAGGAGGAACACCUGUGGCGAAAGCGGCUCACUGGACCAUAACUGACGCUGAUGCACGAAAGCUAGGGGAGCAAACAGG
rnacentral:rRNA from 1 species